rnacentral:rRNA from 1 species
GAUGAACGCUGGCGGUAUGCUUAACACAUGCAAGUCGAACGGACUCUUCGGAGUUAGUGGCGGACGGGUGAGUAACGCGUGAGAAUCUGGCUUUGGGUUCGGGACAACUACUGGAAACGGUGGCUAAUACCGGACGUGCCGAGAGGUAAAAGAGCAAUUUCCUGAAGAUGAGCUCGCGUCUGAUUAGCUAGUUGGUGAGGUAAAGGCUCACCAAGGCAGCGAUCAGUAGCUGAUCUGAGCGGAUGACCGGCCACACCGGGACUGAGAGGCGGCCCAGACUACUACGCGAGGAAGGGGUGAGGAAUUUUCGGCAAUGGGCGAAAGCCUGACGAAGCACUACCGCGUGAGAAAAGAAGGCUCUUGGGUUGUAAACAUGUUUUCGUAAGGAAGAACAACAUGACGGUACCUAAGGAAUAAGCAUCGGCUAACUCCGUG